CACCUUUCAACAUGGCAGGCUUAUUUUUCGUGUCGGAACUUGUCCGUGUUGAUGUAUAUUAAAUGCCAUUUAAAGCCCAACUUUCGCGGCAAAAAAAGCUACAACACUACCACUUUUUUAGUCUCUCCAUAUAAUGGGAACAGAUGAAGUGGAUUUCACUAGGAGCAAUGGACCCAAUGAUGAAUCUAAAAGCAUGAGGGAUGAAAUACGCAAGGUUUACUCCCCUCUACAGGAUAAACAAAAUGGCCAACUGGAGCCUAUGAGGGGAGAGUGUCGAUGUGGAAUGUCUCAGAAACGAAGCUCAUCACAGUGCAUGGAAACUGAAUCAAAUCAAAGUCAUGUAGCUUUGAAAAAAUCAAGAACAG